rnacentral:rRNA from 1 species
UGGGGAAUCUUGCGCAAUGGGCGAAAGCCUGACGCAGCAACGCCGCGUGGGGGAUGAAGGCCUUCGGGUUGUAAACUCCUUUCAGCAGGGACGAAUCUGACGGUACCUGCAGAAGAAGCCCGCCGCAAUCUACGCUGCCAGCAGCCGCGGUAAUACGUAGGGGCGGCAGCGUUGUUCCGGUCAGUUUUAUUGGGGCGUAAAGAGCUCGUAGGCGGCUUGGCAAGUCGGGUGUGAAACCUCCAGGCUUAACCUGGAGACGCCACUCGAUACUGCCAUGGCUAGAGUCCGGUAGGGACCACGGAAUUCCUGGUGUAGCGGUGAAAUGCGCAGAUAUCAGGAGGAACACCGGUGGCGAAGGCGGUGGUCUUGGGCCGGCACUGACGCUGAGGAGCGAAAGCGUGGGUAGCAAAACA